rnacentral:rRNA from 1 species
UAAGGAAUAUUGGUCAAUGGACGAAAGUCUGAACCAGCCAUGCCGCGUGAAGGAUGACGGCCCUCUGGGUUGUAAACUUCUUUUAUCUGGGACGAAAAAAGAUCAUUCUUGAUCACUUGACGGUACCAGAGGAAUAAGCACCGGCUAACUCCGUGCCAGCAGCCGCGGUAAUACGGAGGGUGCAAGCGUUAUCCGGAUUUACUGGGUUUAAAGGGUGCGUAGGUGGGUCUGUAAGUCAGUGGUGAAAUCUCCGAGCUUAACUCGGAAACUGCCAUUGAUACUAUAGGUCUUGAAUUAUCUGGAGGUAAGCGGAAUAUGUCAUGUAGCGGUGAAAUGCUUAGAUAUGACAUAGAACACCAAUUGCGAAGGCAGCUUACUACGGAUCGAUUGACACUGAGGCACGAAAGCGUGGGGAUCAAACAG